rnacentral:lncRNA from 1 species
GUUUGAUAUACCUUAUCAAAAUUAUUAUAGAUUGAUUAAAUAAAAUGAAGCCGAAGGUAGCAAACAUAGAAAUCGGUACGAUAUCCAAUUUAUUUUGUAGAAUAUCAUGUAAUCCACCCACAGGAUAAAAAUCGCACUUACCGAGUAAAGGCCAAACUUGACCUCCACCUGCAGUCGUCUGCAAAAACCAUAGCAAACCGAUGACCCUGUCGUAAAAGCUGAGCCCUUCUAACUUUAUGUUGCACUUUUUUUGUUUUUAAAAGGUGAAGCGCUUCGGAAUGUUUACUCACAACCUCCCAACGCCAGCAAAGCCAUCACAGCUAGAACCUUUUCACUUUUUCAACCACACCCACGCGCACACAAGAGAGGGAAAUAGGGAGGGAGAGAGAUCGAGAUCGAAAUGGAUUCCCCUUCCAUCCACCAAGGGCUACGAAGCAGAUAUUUCCGGCUAUUGUUCAACACACCUUUUGAGCAUGCAAAGACCACCCCUAACCCCAGGUGAGAAAAAGCUUCUCCUCAUCUUCCUCUUCUUCCAGGUAAUAACUUCAACAAACCCAUCGCCACUCAGGCACCGAGCUCCUCCUCCUCCUCAGAUUCUGGCCAUCAAUGCCCACACAUCGUAGAGUGGUCCCAAACCACGAAAUGUGUUUUUUCCUUUGCAAAAGUUCUCCUUUCAUUGCCGGCCUUUUUCGCAAUGCCAGGACAAUUUGAAUGAAGUGCAACAAAUCUCGUUUCGCAUGAACGCACGCCUAUCUUACAAUCCCUUGCGUUCGAGAAAUCCCUUGCGCAUGAGAACCACGACUUGGAUGCAGAAGAAAAUGGCUUGUGAGUUCCAAUUUCACCCCUGACUGGAACCAAAAGGUGUCUUGCUGUGCGAACUUGUUGAUUUGUGCAAGCCACGUCAUACGAGAUGUCGCAUGAACGAUGGUUCGUUGGGUGGGAGUCCUCUGUUCGCUGGACUGCCUUUGUCUCUGCGCUUUUGUUCAUCCAGAACAGGUUGUUCCUGACACAUGAAUAUGUUUUCUGAAUGCCCAGUUGCUACAGAUGUUGGAACAACCAGUUCCUUUGAUGUUGUUGACAAUUAUGUAUCAGAUCUCCAAGAUGAACACAAAAACUGGGGAAAAGUUAUUCUAACUAAAGUAAACAAUUCCUGCCAUAUCAUUUUCAUACCAUUAUUUCAUAUUAUAGAAAGAUUGAGAUCUCGAAUUUUGUCUGGGUCAUGUACGAAUUUCUUUGUGUUGUUCCGAACUGUUGUGCUCCUCCCCUAGAGAAGUGCAUGUGUUAUCGGAAAGGCAGGGGAUACACCCAAAUUUGGUCCGAAAUUUGUAGAAAUUUGGUAUAAAAAUUCAUGAGAAUGCAUAGUUUCUGACUUAAAAAAUAGGUAGUGCUAAAUAAUUCCAUCAGAAGUAUUGGAGGACAGUCUUGAAUUUGAAACAGUGGUGGUAACAUGGUUUAAUAAGAUGGCAUGAUUCCUCCAUAAAUGUGAAAUUCUUAAGGAAUGCAACUUACUUUUAAUUUAACAGAACGGUACAAGUGAACAUUCUAUGAGUAUCUUUGCAAGAAUUGGGUAACGACAAAGAGUUUACUUGUAUUGUUACAGUUAUUUCAAGGAAUAUGUUUCUAGAAAACUCUACAAGAAUCUAAAAUACGAUGCAUGGUGUUUUACAUAAAUAAAGACAUGAAUGGAUUUGAUUUAAGUUUUAUGCCCAAAGAAAGAAACGUGAUAAUAAUUAAUAAUGUUAAAAAGAUAAAAAGAGGAGGAAAAUGAAAUAAAUUUAAAAUAGAGUAUUUAAAAUGUAAGCGAUUUAGAAGUCAGAGAAUGAUGUUGCUAAUAUGGAGGCAUCAAUGGUGUUCAUUCUACAUAUUUACAAGUUAGUAGAACGUUCAUGUAUACAUGAAACAUUUCAAAUUAUAAUAGGAAAUUAAUGAUGCUAAUAAAAAAUACUAUAUAUAUAUAUUGAAGUGUAAUCUCAAAGUUAUAAUAACCAGAGACACCAUUAAUUGCAUUUAAGUCACAAGAUAAAAUAAUUUUAUCUUACUUCCCUGAACAACAAUAUGAACUU